rnacentral:rRNA from 1 species
CCUACGGGAGGCAGCAGUGGGGAAUAUUGGACAAUGGGCGAAAGCCUGAUCCAGCAAUGCCGCGUGAGUGAUGAAGGCCUUCGGGUCGUAAAGCUCUUUUACCAGGGAUGAUAAUGACAGUACCUGGAGAAUAAGCUCCGGCUAACUCCGUGCCAGCAGCCGCGGUAAUACGGAGGGAGCUAGCGUUGUUCGGAAUUACUGGGCGUAAAGAGUACGUAGGCGGUUAUUCAAGUCAGAGGUGAAAGCCCGGGGCUCAACCCCGGAACUGCCUUUGAAACUAGAUAACUAGAGUCUUGGAGAGGUUAGUGGAAUUCCGAGUGUAGAGGUGAAAUUCGUAGAUAUUCGGAAGAACACCAGUGGCGAAGGCGACUAACUGGACAAGUACUGACGCUGAGGUACGAAAGCGUGGGGAGCAAACAGGAUUAGAUACCCUGGUAGUCCACGCCGUAAACGAUGAUAACUAGUUGUUCGGUCACUUGGUGACUGAGUGACGCAGCUAACGCAUUAAGUUAUCCGCCUGGGGAGUCGGUCGCAAGNUUAAAACUCAAAGGAAUUGACGG